AUGAUUGGCCUAACGGCCUUAUCAACAUAAUCCCUCACCUCUGUGAACCGUUGACCUCCGGGUCUACAUAACAAACAUCAGUGUAAAGAACGUCUUUAUAUUUUAACAAAAUAAAACUUUCAACAACGGAUCUCUUGGCUCUCGCAUCGAUGAAGAACGCAGCGAAAUGCGAUAAGUAAUGUGAAUUGCAGAAUUCAGUGAAUCAUCGAAUCUUUGAACGCACCUUGCGCCUUUUGGUAUUCCGAAAGGCAUGCCUGUUUGAGUGUCAUGAAAUCUCAAUCCCCCCGGGUUUUCUGAACCCGAGGUGGACUUGGACAUGGGUGUCUGCCGUCUCGUACGGCUCGCCUUAAAUGACUCAGUGGGAUCUUCAGCAUCCGUGGCAGACGUAAUAAGUUUCGUCUCGUCCCUUGCUGUGAGGACCGCUCAUAACCUGCCAUCGCGCACCACUUUUGACUCUGACCUCAAAUCAGGUAGGACUACCCGCUGAACUUAAGCAUAUCAAUAAGCGGAGGA
rnacentral:rRNA from 1 species